rnacentral:rRNA from 1 species
UACGGGGGGUGCGAGCGUUGUCCGGAAUCACUGGGCGUAAGGGGCGCGUAGGUGGUCUGAUAAGGGUGUGGUGAAAGCCCGGGGCUCAACCCCGGGUCGGCCGUGCCGACUGUUAGACUAGAGUGCUGUAGGGGCAGGCGGAAUUCCGGGUGUAGCGGUGGAAUGCGUAGAGAUCCGGAGGAAGACCGGUGGCGAAGGCGGCCUGCUGGGCAGUUACUGACACUGAGGCGCGACAGCGUGGGGAGCAAACAGG